AUUUGUUAUAACCGGACUGCAUGCGAAUUUGAACUUCAGAGCUGAGGAAGCGGGUGGAGAAAUAGUCCCAAUAUCAUAACAAUCUUAAAUAAAACUUCUAAAUAUGCCCGUGUGUGUACCCGUGUGCGCGCGCGCGUGCGCGCGACCCGCUCACGCGCGCGUGUGUAUGUACAGUAUGUGUGUGAGUUUUUAAUUUAAAAUGUCUUAACUUAACUCGGAAGGAUCUGAAUGACAGGUCAUUUCAUCUGAGAUCAUUCCGCAUGUAACAGCCGGAAUCACUCACUGUUUCCCACAACGACACGAGUCAUCAGCCGUUUCCUCAAGGUCACGUCAGGUAAGUGUUUGUAAAUAAAUGUUAAUUUUAGACUAUAUUAAUUGGCAAAUACGCAAAUACUCGACGUUUUUGUAAACAUAUAAGUUAUAUAAAGGUGUGUUAUGUUAUGUGACCGACUUAAAGUGUGUGUUACGUUAUGUGUCCGAGUUAAAGUGGAGCUAUUUUAGUUAAGAUAAUACCGGACAGGGUUUAGGACUCCGUCUUAAUUAUAAUUGGGACAUUUUUACAAACAAACCUUAUUAAAUACAAUACUGGCGUGCAUUUUGAGACAAAACAAUAGCACUCAUAUGUUAAGAGAUGUCAGUAUUUUAGUCAGUGAUAAGUCCUGUCCGAGAAAACCGCCCAAUAGUGUUUAAUUCAAUUACGUGUGAUGUCUGAGGGAAACUUGGCAAUUUUAGGGUAUAAAAUCUUUCACCGUGAAGCUUUAUUAUAUUAAACAUGUUAUUUAUGUAUGUGUGUGUGUUUAUAUUCCUCUGUUUAUUAAACCAGAGGGGUGGUGAUGUGGAGAGGCAGACCAGACCACCACCAUAUGCGAAGAUGAGCCUCGAGGCUUGACAGUUAUUUUUUCAACCUGAGGAGUUCGGACUCCGGACCGUCAUUUCUGCUUGUUUGUACCCUGAGAUAACCAUGGUUAAUAAAUGAUCAGACACGUCACUGGCUUUCAAAUAUAAACCCCACUGAUGCAAAAAGAUGCUGCAUGGAAUGACAAUGUGGUUUGGAACAGACUUGGUGAAGAACAUGGAAACAUCUCUUAAUAAAAUGGCCCCAAACAUCAUCAGGAGUGCAAAAGAAGGAAGUAAAAACAUCUCUACGCCAAUCUCAUUGGAGAGGAAACCACAGAAGGUCUGGUGAGGAAUGCUGCACUUAUGUUAUUGCAAGCAUUAUUUCAAGAAAAUCCCAGCUUCCUUUACUGUAUAAAUAGUGAACCCAAAGGUCCCACACCAACCAUAGUGUUCAACGGCUCUCCUGAUCUUUUCAAAUCUGAAUGUAUCAACUUUAUAAUGGACAAUGUGAACUUAAUAUGUGGAAGACAUUGACAUCACAGGCUGUGGAAUGACUGUCACAGGUCGGAGAAGCGGACCGCCCCUGUCGCGGAUCACGCUCCUCCUAGUUCCACCUCGAGGAGGUCCCAAAGCACCCUAAUGACCAGACAAACCAGAGGGGGAGUAUUACGGGGCCAGGGACGUUGGAGGGGUUUCCACGUGACUCCAGCUGGAACACCGCUACAGAGCGUAUCUGGGUGGGUUGGGCACACACCGUCGCGGCGGCCCCUGAUGGCAUCCACAAGGGUCCAAGACCCUCCUAAGGUGAGUACGGACGACAAGGACACAG